rnacentral:rRNA from 1 species
UGGGGAAUAUUGGACAAUGGGCGAAAGCCUGAUCCAGCCAUGCCGCGUGUGUGAAGAAGGUCUUCGGAUUGUAAAGCACUUUAAGUUGGGAGGAAGGGCAGUUACCUAAUACGUGAUUGUUUUGACGUUACCGACAGAAUAAGCACCGGCUAACUCUGUGCCAGCAGCCGCGGUAAUACAGAGGGUGCAAGCGUUAAUCGGAAUUACUGGGCGUAAAGCGCGCGUAGGUGGUUUGUUAAGUUGGAUGUGAAAUCCCCGGGCUCAACCUGGGAACUGCAUUCAAAACUGACAAGCUAGAGUAUGGUAGAGGGUGGUGGAAUUUCCUGUGUAGCGGUGAAAUGCGUAGAUAUAGGAAGGAACACCAGUGGCGAAGGCGACCACCUGGACUGAUACUGACACUGAGGUGCGAAAGCGUGGGGAGCAAACAGGAUUAGAUACCCCAGUAGUCCCUGAGCGGGCUGGCAAGGCGCAU